rnacentral:rRNA from 1 species
AGCUAGAUGAAUUAAUAUUUAGUAAUUUCUGCCCAGUGAAUUUUUAACGGCCGCAGUACUUUGACUGUGCUAAGGUAGCAUAAUCAAUUGGCUUUUAAUUGAAGUCUAGAAUGAAAGAAAAAAUGGGAAUAAACUGUUUUUUAGAAAAUUAUAUGAAAUUAUUUAUAAGGUGAAAAUACCUUUUUAAAGACAAAAGACGAGAAGACCCUUAGAGUUUUUUUGUUGGGGUGACAAAUAAGCGAACCUUAUUUAAAGCAAGAAAAAACUACCUAAGGGAUAACAGCAUAAUUUUUUAUAAAGAUUAUGACCUCGAUGUUGGACUAGGAAUAUUAUAAUUAGAAGUUAAAAAUAUUAGUUCUGUUCGAACGUUUCCUCCU